GUGGUAGAGUGGGCAUGGUCUUCUGCAUGCAGCACAGAUGAAAGUCAGUUGGAGAAGUCCUUUGGCAGACGCAUCAUCUGGCCUAAAUUCCCUUCCUCUUUAUGAGCAGAUUGAAGCUGGUAGAAUCUUUGAUGCUGGAGAAAAGUGUCACUUCCAGAAGGACGGGUCUAUUAGUUGGGUCAUACAGCUAUACCACCUCUGUAGUUAGCAUUCCAAUAGAUUGUAAGAAGCCUUUGUUUAAUUACAUUUCCUGUUUAGUAAAGAGUCUUGUAUAUUAUGUUAAACAAAGCCCAUGCCAGUUUACAGGUUCUGGUAGGGACUGCCUCAUCCAAUGAACGGGUAAUGUCCCAUGGCCUUGGAUUAUAUGAAUACUACAUGAUUGUAUUCAAUAUUGGUCUAAGCUUAGGAUUCACAGUUAAUACACAACUGAGAUGCUUUGCAGGUCUUCUCUAAGACAUGUAGGAUUCUUGCGUCCCUCAGUGAGCUUGCUCCUAAAGCUGCCUAAAGAUGGCUGCCAUGAACAAUAAGCUCUCCAUACCCAUAAAGUAUAGGAAAACGCCCAAAGUUCCCAUAGCCAUAUUUGAGAUACCUGUAUUGUAUACUUACAGAAAGUCCGGGAAACGAAAUUAGUAAUACCCACAGUGGUUAACAAGCUUUAUCCUAAUGGUGAAAUUUUCUCUUAGCCCAAAGUCUAUGAUUUUAAUUCUAUAAAUCUAUGAUAAUCUUACCUGGCUUUAAGUCUAGGUACCUUAAUGGUGUGGUCUGCAUGAUAUUUGUUGGAAAAUACCUCUGGUCCCAUUUCUCUCUGGUCACUGCACAUAGGUGAGAGGCAGUAACUCUUUUUCCUUGAGUAGCUUCAUGAUAAGGUAGAUUCUGAAUCCACCCAGUGACUUGAGUUGACAAGAUAAUGGGGGGGGGGCAUUAUUCAAUCUUAUCAUGAUGUGCAGCUCUGUUAUAACUGGGUGGCACUACUGCUGCUUCUUAAUCAGCACCCUCACGGAGACUCCGGAGCCUGGCAGGUGGUCUUGGGCCAGCUUUACCACCGUGUUUAAUCAAUGACUUAUGGUUUUUAGGAUGUUAUACUGAGAGUGGGAAUUCUCUGAAUUAGAGAAACUAGGCAAAGAGCUGUGGACCUGCUGUCUCUUGCCUAAUAUUUAUGGGAAAAUACCCCUGGUCCCAUUCUCUCUGGGUCACUGCCCACAGAUGAGAGGCACUAACUCUUCUUCCUCAAGUAGCUUCAUGAUAAGGUAGAUUCUGAAUCUAACGUAAUGACUUGGGUUAACAAGAUAACUGGGGUGGGGGAGGUGCUAUUCAAUAUCAUGAUGUGCAGCUCUGUUAUAACUGGGUGGUACUACUGCUGCUUCUUAAUCAGCACCCUCACGGAGACUCCGGAGCCUGGCAGGUAAUGUUGGGCCAGCUUUACCUUGCAUUGCACCUAUGACCUAUGGUUUUUAGGAUGUUAUACUGAGACUGGGGGUUCUCUCAAUUAGAGAAACUAGGCAUAGAACUGUGGGCCUGCUAUCUCCUUCUCAUUUUAAAUUUGUAGUUAGCAAGACAGCAAACACCUGGAACGUUCGAGGCACCACCUGACUCAAACACAGCACAGCUGAUCACCAGUGCCUGUGACUGAGUCUCAUUUUAGUUAAGAAUAAUUUGAAAUAAGAUAUAAAAGUUCUCUUGCAUGACUAAUGGCAUAAUAACCCACUGUGACACAGAGUGAGGGAGAAAAUUGACUUCUAAUCCAUGCUAGUACUCAGCUUUUAUGUUUGAGAAUAAGGAUAUACAGUAACUUUACUAUCUAAGGCCAGUGAGAACUGACUAUUAAAACCUCUGCUAUAUUUCAAACUUAACCAGGCUAACUGAAAUUCGGGCUAAUGUUUAGAAGUAUGUCUGAAGUGUACUAUUUUGUCCAUUUUACUUUACCCUUUGUGAAUACACAUAUUGUGCAUGAAUAUGUAAUUCUGUAGUAGAGAUUACCUAUCAGCUCUAAGCCCUAGACUCAAUUUGCCUUAUUACAAAUACCUAAGAGAUAAAACCUAUAUUUUGGUGAUUUCCUUUAUAUUCGAAUGACUAUAUGUACCUCAUAUGUCCAAGUGUUUUUUAAAAGUUCACUCAAAUAAUUAUUUUAUAAUUUUCCUUUAUCAGAUAUGCUUCAUCUUAAAAUGAGCUAAAGAUAUUUUGGUUCUCAUAUUUUCCAAAGUCAUUAACAUCUUUUAUUUUUAACCAGGACCUAUUAACUCACUCUUUAAUGUGUGGUAUGUAGUUCUCCAGGUCUUCUUCGGAAGCUGCUUCAUAAAGCAUUAUUUCAACAACCUAAUUGAAGUGGCACUCUGGUCAUGUUCAUUUGACUCCUGAACACCAAGAGGACCCAAAACAAAGUGCAUUCAUUUGAUCUCAUUGAAAACAAAAAAGCAAAUGAGCAGACUCACUCUUGAGAACUCACAGCUUUACACCCAACUUUGGGUCCUCCUAUCUUUGCUACUCUGAUGCUGAAUCUCAGACUUGAAAUGCGUUCUCUGUUUAAUUACCUUGCAAGCAGCUACAGUCUUGUAGAAUCACUGAUUCAUAAAUGCUAUACGUUGCCACCAACACAAAGAAUGAGAGCAAAGUAUUGCAUCUAUAGAAAAAUGGAAAAGAAAUGGCAUCAAUUGUGGAUCAGAUGACUGCCUAAAAUCCAUGUUGGAAACAGUGACUAGUUAUGGAAACAAAAGGAACAGAUAUUAUAUUACUUCAUCAGCUUCUUGUAUAGUCCUCAGAAUCCACUGAUCAAGCCCAUCCAACUUCCUUUAUCACGGACUCGACUUGUUGCUGGGACUGUUAACAACAGCACAAUGUGUGAUGUGGCAGGCUAAAAGACCUCCACCAGGAACUCUAUAAAAAAACUGCUCUAAUAGGGAGUUUACGGAAGAGUCUCCAGUGAUUGCACAGAGACUGCCAUAGCAUUCUAACAGUAAUGGGAAAAGGGAUUAAGCACAAGGUCUGAACAUUUGUUAGAUACUGCAUAGCACAGUCUGCAGGUUGAGCAGAGUUUGCCUGAGCUACCCCAAGUUUAUAGAACAGUCAAGUCAGAAAACUCAAAGCAGAAGUGGAGCUGGGACUCUGUAAAAGAACAGUACUGGUAAAGACCAACAGGGUACGUAACAUAAAACAGAAAUAGGAUAAUAUAGACCAUAAAUUAGAUCACUGAUAAGUAUAAAUGUUGUAAUGUCUACAUUGAUAGGUGCCUUUCUUUUGAGGGACAGAUUGAAAUGGGCAGAAUUGUUGAUGUUGAAACAAUUGUUGAUGUUCUGUUGGGCAGAAAGGUUCUUUGUCCACUGUUUUGUAGUUAUUUCAGUGACGAAGUACAAUAGUACAUUUCAGCGCUCAGCCUGAAAUGGAGCAUCUAUAUCACAAAUCCUCUCCCCAAAGGCUCAGGGAACAUUGCGGAAGAGGAGGCGGAAAGAUUGUAAGAGCCAGAGGUGGGGAGGACAGCUGAGAGAAACUCAUCUGCACAUGGCGAGAAUGUUCAUUUAGGAACUAACAGCAGUUGUGGUUCCUAGAACAAGAUUCACUGAGGCAGAUGUAGUGGGGCAAGGACUCAGGAGGCCAAACAGCUGAGGAGCCACAGCUAUUGUGAGAGAUGCCACCUCUGCUUAGGAAUGCUUAGGAAUUGUUAGGUUAACUAUACACUAGUUUAUGACCCUAGGCUCAUGUACCUAUAUUCAGCAUUAAUAGGAAAACACACUAUUGAAUAAAAAUAUACACACUAAAAUGACAAAAUCAUGUGGGACUGUAAAGACCCAGGAAAGGCUAGGGAAUACAUUUGUGUUUUAUAAAAAAAAAUACAUUGUGCUUACUACCACCAAUGUUGACUGAUUUAUUCCUCAUUGUUUUUGUCAAAACUUAGGCUAUUAAAUUUUUAGAUUAUG